rnacentral:rRNA from 1 species
AGCGAACGCUGGCGGCAGGCCUAACACAUGCAAGUCGAACGAAGUCUUCGGACUUAGUGGCGGACGGGUGAGUAACACGUGGGAACGUGCCUUUAGGUUCGGAAUAACUCAGGGAAACUUGUGCUAAUACCGAAUGUGCCCUUCGGGGGAAAGAUUUAUCGCCUUUAGAGCGGCCCGCGUCUGAUUAGCUAGUUGGUGAGGUAAAGGCUCACCAAGGCCACGAUCAGUAGCUGGUCUGAGAGGAUGACCAGCCACAUUGGGACUGAGACACGGCCCAAACUCCUACGGGAGGCAGCAGUGGGGAAUCUUGCGCAAUGGGCGAAAGCCUGACGCAGCCAUGCCGCGUGGAUGAUGAAGGUCUUAGGAUUGUAAAAUCCUUUCGCCGGUGAAGAUAAUGACUGUAGCCGGAGAAGAAGCCCCGGCUAACUUCGUGCCAGCCGCCGCAGUAACAC